rnacentral:rRNA from 1 species
CCCGAGUGCGAGCUACCAUGCAGUCGAGCGGUAGCACAGGAGAGCUUGCUCUCGGGUGACGAGCGGCGGACGGGUGAGUAAUGUCUGGGAAACUGCCUGAUGGAGGGGGAUAACUACUGGAAACGGUAGCUAAUACCGCAUAACGUCGCAAGACCAAAGAGGGGGACCUUCGGGCCUCUUGCCAUCAGAUGUGCCCAGAUGGGAUUAGCUAGUAGGUGGGGUAAUGGCUCACCUAGGCGACGAUCCCUAGCUGGUCUGAGAGAACGACCAGCCACACUGGGACUGAGACACGGCCCAGACUCCUACGGGAGGCAGCAGUGGGGAAUUUUGGACAAUGGGCGAAAGCCUGAUCCAGCAAUGCCGCGUGUGGGAAGAAGGCCUUCGGGUUGUAAACCACUUUUGUACGGAACGAAACGGUUCGCUUUAAUACAGUGGGCUAAUGACGGUACCGUAAGAAUAAGCACCGGCUAACUACGUGCCAGCAGCCGCGGUAAUGCGUAGGGUGCGAGCGUUAAUCGGAAUUACUGGGCGUAAAGCGUGCGCAGGCGGUUAUAUAAGACACUUGUGAAAUCCCCGGGCUCAACCUGGGAAUUGCAUCUGUGACUGUAUAGCUAGAGUACGGUAGAGGGGGAUGGAAUUCCGCGUGUAGCAGUGAAAUGCGUAGAUAUGCGGAGGAACACCGAUGGCGAAGGCAAUCCCCUGGACCUGUACUGACGCUCAUGCACGAAAGCGUGGGGAGCAAGCAGGAUUAGAUACCCUGGUAGUCCACGCCCUAAACGAUGUCAACUGGUUGUUGGGUGCAUUAGUACUCAGUAACGAAGCUAACCCGUGAAGUUGACCGCCUGGGG